rnacentral:tRNA from 1 species
CUUUUUGUUUGCUUUGCAAUCCUAGCUUACUUUCGUUUAUACUGUGUAGCCAUAUGAAUCUCUCACUCAAACUUCCAGGGCCUUUUGGGGAAAAAUGAGAAGCUAAUGGGGCUUCCCUGGUAGCUCAGCUGGUAAAGAAUCUGCCUGCAAUGCAGGACACCCAGGUUCGAGCCCUGGGUUGGGAAGAUUCCCUGAAGAAAGGGAUAGGCUACCCGCUCCAGUAUUCUUGGGCUUCCCUGGUGGCUUAGCUGGUAAAGAAUCCACCUGCAAUGCGGAAGAAGCUAAUGAGAGCUUUCUGUACAGUGAGUGGGGAGCAGAGGGGCCUGACUGUUUAAAUUAUUUACCCUGGAGAUAUUCAACGUCUACCACCUCACAUUAGAACCUUCUGCUCAAUGGGCAGAUCUCCCUGCCUACCCCUCCCUCACCAGCAUGAAUCAAGAGGAGGCCCAAAACUACUUUAGCUGGGGGAGGGGGCGCUGGUGUGGUCCUGGAAUAUCCCAGGAGAGGUCACCAACUCAGUGCAUCCUGCUUCAGCUCCAGCACUUCCAGCUGACAUCCAUCCUGGGGUCCAAGGUGGAAGUUCUGAAGCAGUCGGAGAGUCUGAGGGACUCCUGAAGUGGCUUCCGGGCCACAAAGCUCAGUCCAGCCGCCAGUCUGAAGACAAGCCCAUCUCCGC